rnacentral:lncRNA from 12 species
UGGGGCCCCAGGGGAGGCAUCAGAGCCCUGCAGCCCUUGCUGAUAUCUAGAAACCCAAGAGUACAGAGCAGGCAAUCAUUGCAUGCCUCUGUGAUAAGGCUCCUCCGUUCCCAUACGCUGCUCCCCACUCCCCGGGACCAGGGAUACAGAGAGAUCAGGGCUCUUCGCCUGGUGGACACAUUCAGGACCAAGCCUGAGCUGCCCCCACCCUCCCCUGGCCUCUGGCAGAGCUUCCGGCCAGGCCGAGUGGCCAAAAGAACCAGCUCCCGUAACAAGCCGGGUGCUGACAGCUGGGUCCUGGAGAACAAGGAGCCCUUUGAAGGUACAGCGCCGGGCGGGCCGCACAUUCAGGACAUGGCCUGGGAGCCCAAACUGACCCCGACGAAUUCUCAGAUGACCGAAGAAGCACUGCCCUCUGCGCUCCUGGCAUGGCUUCUUGGCUCUACUUCGAAGAUGAGCAGCAGCUCUGGCUUCUCCAAGUACCUCUCCAAGUACUCCCGUGGCAGGAGGCCAGGACUGGGUGCGCACACCUCUCACUGCGUCCGGCCUCGUGACGUGUCCAGCAGUGGCCUCGGUCAUCACUCUGUGGACAACAGCGUGGGCCUUCCAUCCAUCCCCCAUCGGGAGGCUCUACCACAGGGCCCACGUGGGUCUCCCAGCCCUUGAGGAUGGCUCCUCCACGCCCUCGGGAUGACCGCCCAGCUCUGGCUGGAGGCCCAAGGCCCUGCUGCCUGAGCCCGAGGUCUCCUCCCAGCCUCAGGGCCCGUCUCCUGACCACCUGCAUAGCUUGGCCUCUCUGCUGCCUCCCAAACCUCCUCCUGCUCUGGCUCACUGGUGUCUACCCCUGGCAGUGAGAGCUGUUCUCUCCUCCAGACCCCCCAGGACUGUACAGCCCAUGCCAGGGACUUUUAUGGAUGCGCCCACUGCUCUCUGGACACGGCUGCUGAGGAACAGAAGCUGGGGGUGAGUCGGCUCUGACUCCCAGGGCCCCGCAUGGCCUGGCCGAAGGCAGUGUCCACUAGAGGUUGGCAGAGAGCAUGCAUUCAAGAAGUCUGCUUCUUGGAAGGCAGCCUGACCACACCCCAGGAGCAGAGAGACGGCCGACUUUGAGGGCAGAUGACCCUGCACAGCCUUGGCCUCAGUGUCCUCAUCUGUGGAAUGGGGAUCCUAGCACCCAUUUUCCCCCCCAUUUUAGCCAUGCUUCUAGGUAUGUAUCUUACUGACAUUUUAACUUGCAUUUUUCUCGUAAGGAAUGAAGUUUGGAGAUCCUUUUUGUCACCUUGAGACCUUUGUGGUGGUUAUUGUCUUUCUAUGAGUGAUAUGUAGGGUUUUUAAAAAGUGUACUCUCGAUAUGGUGUCUGUGUCAAGAUCUCUUGUUGCUAAUCACAGGUUUCAGGGACAUCAACCGUGUGAAACCACAGCAUCGGGCCCAGCAGGAGGGUGCUCAAGAAACAUCGGCUUCCCUGCAGCCCUAGAUGCCUCCCACCACCUGCCUUUCCGCGUGCACCUCUUUGCCCUAUCCUGGUUCAUCUGAGAUGCCCCUUCCUCCUGGGCCUUUCCCUUACACCCUGAGUCUGCCUCAGGACCCAGGACCAACCCAUCCCCAAGCUGAGCAACCCCAACUUGAACACUCUUUGGGGACCUGUGUCUUCCAUGCCCAGUCACA